ensembl:rRNA 5S_rRNA 5S ribosomal RNA
CCCUUUGGUCCCACCCUGAACAUGCCUGAUCUUGUCUGAUCUCGGAAGCUAAGCAGGGUCGGGCCUGGUUAGUACUUGGAUGGGAGACCGCUUGGGAAUACCGGGUGCUGUAGGCU